UCCCAAGGAAGGCAGCAGGCGCGCAAAUUACCCAAUCCCGACACGGGGAGGUAGUGACAAUAAAUACUGAUACAGGGCUCUUUUGGGUCUUGUAAUCGGAAUGAGUACAAUUUAAAUCCCUUAACGAGGAACAAUUGGAGGG
rnacentral:rRNA from 1 species